UACGUAGGGGGCAAGCGUUGUCCGGAAUCAUUGGGCGUAAAGCGCGUGUAGGCGGCUUGGUAAGUCCGCUCUGAAAGCCCGGGGCUCAACCCCGGGAGGCGGGUGGAUACUGUCAAGCUCGAGUCCGGAAGAGGCGAGUGGAAUUCCCGGUGUAGCGGUGAAAUGCGCAGAUAUCGGGAGGAACACCAGUGGCGAAGGCGACUACCUGGCCUGUUCUUGACGCUGAGGCGCGAAAGCUAGGGGAGCAAACGGG
rnacentral:rRNA from 1 species